rnacentral:rRNA from 1 species
GAUGAACGCUGGCGGCGUGCCUAAUACAUGCAAGUCGAGCGAAGCGGGGACGGGUGAGUAACACGUGGAUAACCUCCUCUAAGACUGGGAUAACUUCGGGAAACCGGAGCUAAACCGGAUACUUAUAGUUGGAUUCGCGCUGCAUUAGCUAGUUGGUAAGGUAACGGCUUACCAAGGCAACGAUGCAUACCCGACCUGAGCGGGGGAUCGGCCACCCUGGAACUGAGACAGGGUCCAGACGCCAACGGAGGGCAGCGGUAGGGAAUCUUCCGCAAUGGGCGAAAGCCUGACGGGGAAACGCCGCGGGAGUGAUGAGGGUCUUCGAAUCGUAAGACUCUGUGAUUGGGGAAGCGGUACCUAAUCAGAAAGCCACGGCUAACUACGUGCCAGCCGCCGCGGUAAUAC